CCCUUAGAUGUUCUGGGCCGCACGCGUGCUACACUGAGUGGAUCAGCGGGUCAGGUUGCGCGAAAGCGUUUCCUAAUCUUUAAAUCCGCUCGUGAUGGGGAUUGACGGUUGCAAUUUUCUGUCAUGAACGAGGAAUACCUUAUAAGCGCGGGUCAUCAUCCCGCGCUGAAUACGUCCCUGCCCUUUGUACACACCGCCCGUCGCUCCUACCGAUUGAGUGGUCCGGUGAGGCUUUGGGAUCUGAGCGGAAAGAGCGUUUCGCUGUUUCUGCUCGGAAAACUCAGUCGAACCUUAUCAUUUAGAGGAAGGAGAAGUCGUAACA
rnacentral:rRNA from 1 species